rnacentral:lncRNA from 1 species
UUACAACAGAUUAUUGCAGGCACCAAGAAUUCAUAAUGCCAAGCAAAUGACAGCAGCACAGACAGACAAGCUCUAGAGGUACAGGACAUGUGCUCAUGUGCGUAAAGCAGAAAUUGUGUGAUCCUUGACUAUGCAGUAUGCAAAAAUGAAUUAACUUUGUAGGUUAACCCUGUAAUGCCCAAUGUAUCAUAUAAGCUACACUAGUUUUGGUUCAUAAAUAUUCUGACUUACACACAGGAAACGUCACACAAGCCUAUAGCAGUUUGAUAUGCUGAAGAAAGCUUUAAGUUGUGCCAGUAGUUCAGCUGUAGUGAGAAAUCCAUGCCAAUAAUGAAUUACUGUACUAAUUAAUUUUUUACUAAAAUAAAAUAAAAUUGCAAUCUUCAUGGCCAGAAAUAAAGGUAAACGAAUUGUUCCAACUUUCCUCGAUGUGGAACUAUGUUUGAGCAUUACAGGGUUAACCAUAUUUUUAAUGUGGCUUUCCAUAUUGUUGCUUCUCCAUGCAGACUGGAUUUUGAAAGCAUAUUUUAUUAGGCUUGCUGGCUCUGCAUAUAAAACCGGAAUUUACAUGUGCGUGACCUCAUAAAUAAGGUUAGCUUUGAGUAAGAACAUGUGAUGUCCAUCCCAUUUGUACUUGUCUACAUUACGCUUAAUGAACAGAUUCGAUACAAGCAGACGAAUCCUCACCGUGAGAACUGUCGCAUUGUAACGAAGUGUUUUGUUGCAAAACUCCGGACUUGAGGUGUUUGCAGAAGGCC